GCGGAUGUGGCGGAAUUGGCAGACGCGUACGGUUCAGGUCCGUAUGUAUGAAAGUACUUGGGGGUUCGAGUCCCUUCAUCCGCACCA
rnacentral:tRNA from 1 species